AUUUUAAGUUGUAACGGUGGAGAAAAUGUCUAGAAACAGAAAGGACGUAAUGGGAAUUUUGAAGACAAAUUUUCUGGUGGCACAGUACCGAGCCUUUUCUUUUUCUCCCAUUUUCUUCUUCUUCUUCUUCCCCGCGAUUUCUUCUCUCUCGUGUUUCUUUUGCAACAGUCACUAUACAGUGACUGUUUAAUUUCCCGGCCACUAAUCGACUCCGUCGUGCAUCGGUUGAACGCGCCACCUUCAGGAAUUCUCCAAUUUUUCCAAAUUUUGGCCGGCAAUUUUUUGAGCUUUUCCGGCGACUCCGGCUACCGUUUCCAUCGAUUGAGGAGGGUAUGGGGAGGGAGCACUUGGCUAACAAGGCAACUUCCCAAGCACGUUGCAAACGCAAGGGUAAGACGACUACUGGGGUGCCCCCUCAGAAAAAAGCAAAGGGAAACAACAUCAGUUCUAUUGUAACCACUAAGCAAGGGCACGGUUCCCGACCAAAACACAAAAGCCAUGCAUAUCACCCAUUGUUCUGUGUGAGAAGAUACAUACACAAGAACCACAGCGAAUUCGAUCCGGUGGUACAUGUCAAAAUUACUGACCAUUUAUCUUACAGGGUAGAUAUUGAAUUCGGGUAACCACUUUAAGGGAUGCGGAAAUGACAAAUUCUGUGGUUUAUGGUUUCAAAGCCAUUUGCCUGGUCCAGUAAAGGAUAAAGUCAAAGCAACAAAGUUUUCAUUAGUUUGCAAAAUUACUUGCAAGAAAGGGAUGGAGAGAUAGACACCUCAUUACGGCAUUGGCGGGGCGUUGGUGGGACAGUACCUGUACAUUCUAUUUGGAUGAGGUCGGGGAGCUUAUAAUGACCCCAAAGGACUUUAGUGCAAUCUCGAGUUUACCUGUUUGUGGGAAACCUUUAAAUUAUGACAUGGAGGCCUACAAAAACACUAUAGAGAUAGUGAGGCUAUUCGGGAACCCCAUUGCAAGCAUAAUUAAGGACAAAAACAUUGUGGAUAAGUACAAGGAAUGGAAGCUGCAAACCACUAUACAAGAAAACCUGUUAACUCGUGUCUUCAUUCUCACAUUGGUCGACAACACUAUAUGCAAUGAUAAGAGCAACUCUGUUUAUCUAUACUAAAUGCCCAGCAUGGCUAAAGUGGAUGAGAUUAAAGAGUACAAUUGGGGUGGGGCUGGGUUGUCAUGCUUGUAUCUGUCGAUGGAUGCUAUUUCUAGAAGGAUAGUGUCAAGCUCACGAGGGUAUUUUCAGGCUUGGGAGGUAUGGGCGUGAAGUACUCGAAGCCACUUGCUUUAAGUCAACCAUUUACCGAUGAAAGUAGUUAAUGGUUUCGCGCGUUAUGGUGGUUGGGUGGCUUGGAUGUGCGGGAAACACCCCACAACUUGGAGCAGUUUAGAAUAACUAUGAGAUAUAUCACUACUGAUCAAGUCAAUUGGCAUCCAUGGGGAACUGAUGAUACAACCCUACAACAUUAUGUGCAAAGCAGCAUUCUAGCUACAAAACAAAGAAUUCUACUCGAAGGACUUGUCGGGUAUGCCUGGUAUUAAGGGGAAAGAGUAUCCGUGCAAAGCCUAGCUACACCAGAUCAGAGGAUCCUAAAAAUACCCCGUUGAACUAUACUCUAAGAUGUGAAAGUAUAUGCCGUGGACAAUGAAACCAAAGCAUCACUUAAGGGAUUUAAAGCAGAGGACUGGUUUGCUAAAUCCACUGAUUAUCGAGUGUUUCGAAAUGAGUAUGUGAGGUAUAAGCAUUAUCCAAGUGUGGCUGCGAAUACUGUGGAAGAUGGUGUGUAUUUUGUUGGUCCGAGCGUUCAAGCUAGUGAAAUUAAAAAUCCACCAUUUACUGUUCAAGUGGUGGGAUGAUGGGAUGAUGGGACGCAGAUGAUUGUGAAGAAUUGGACAUGCCAAGAGGCACGUCUAGCAAGUGCCUUAUACUCUCGGGGGAUGUGAAAUAUGUAAGUGCAUCCACAGCAGUAGAACUAUUGGAUAUGAUUAGUCGGCUAAAUUCCUCGCUCAUCACAAACUUACAUUCGCGGCCACACUUGGAUAAUGCUUAUACCUCAUGUACUCAUUUCGAAACACUCCAUAAUCAGUGGAUUCAACAAACCAGUCCUCUGCCUUAAAUCCCUUAAGUGAUGCUUUGGUUUCAUUGUCCACAGCAUAUACUUUCACGUCUUUGAGUACAGUUCGAUCGGGUAUUUUUGGGAUUAGCUAAUCUAGUGUACCUAGGCUUUGCACGGAUACUCUUUCCCCUAAAUACCAGGCAUACCAGGCUGGUCCUUCGAGUAGAAUUCUUUGUUUUGUAGUUGGAAUGCUGCUUUGCACAUAAUGCUGUAGGUUUGUAUCACAGUUCCCAAUGGAUGCCAAUUGACUUGAUCAGUAGUGAUACAUCUCGUAGUUAUUCUAAACUACUCCAAGUUGUGAUAUAUCUUGAUCAAUAAAAAUGUUUAGAAUGAUUACAUUCC